AUGAAGAAGUUGAUACCAAAACCAAGACAAAAAUUAUUAAUAAUUUAAACAGAGACGAAAGUUCAGAUUCCUCUAAACGCUAUGUCCCAUCGAAGGAAGAAAUUACGCAAAAUUUGUUUGAUAUGACGCUGGAUGAUUUUGUAACUCAAAGAAGCAAACGAUUUCUAUCUCGACUACAGAUCGACGACAGUUUUCUUCGGGAAGACGUAUCUUCGUGGGGUGACAAUCCUGCUUUUUUGGAAGCUAGAAGACGAUUAAGUCGUUUGAAGGUCGUAAAUGACACUGCUGAAAGAGCUGUUAAAUUAAUGCAAGAUUAUAAUGGUCUUAUCACGGCUGAAGAAGAGCAAAAUCAGUUUUUGUUGCGUUGUGUUCAGGAACAUAGAAAUUUGUAUCCAGACUGUAAAAAAACUACACUAAAGAGAAGUUACCCUAAUUCAUUAUUAUUAUAAUUUGUAUUUAAAUAAAAGUUUGUAUUGAUA